ensembl:lncRNA
CUGGGGUUUUAACUCAGGGCCUUGUGCUUGCUAGGCAGGUGCUCCACCACUUGAGCCAACCUGCCAGCAGAUUUGAUAAUUUGAUAUAAAUGUUUAGUAAAUAAAACUAAGCUUGGUACCAAUGAUUCUAACAAUGGCCAUAAUUAUGAAGACAUUACACCUUUGUGUUUUAAAAGUCUGUGUCAUCAUAAUUGUAAAGACUUUUAUUCAGCAUAAUACUAUGUAGGUUGUUUUCUAUUUUUGACAAAAUCUUGACACUAAUAAUAAUAACUAGCAAUUAUUUAGUAUCUAGUAUGCACUGGGUACUUGACUAGACUGUUUCAUUUAUUCACUCAUUUGUUCAUUUCUUCCCCAAAUAUUCAGCAACUCUAUGCAGCAAAUAUUAUGCCAGGCAUUAAAAAUAUAAUGAUGAAAAAGCUAAAAUUAUACAGAUGAAGAAGUUCUAAAGAUGAAAAAGUCAGUUAUUGAGGGGCAAUUGAAGAAGGAGCAGGUUUACUACUCAGGUCAACCAAGGUCCCUUGGGCUAAAGUUUGGGACCAUGACAUGGGUCAAGCCUCAGCCCAUGCUUUGGACCCGUGAAUGAGUUGGACAAGGCAACAACUACUGUGAAACACUGGUUGGUAUAUAUAUUGAUAGGCCUGGUAUAAAAAUCAAUUACUAUAAAUAAAAAAACAUGAAUGUAACGAAAAAUCA